rnacentral:rRNA from 1 species
GACAGAGGUGCCAAGCGUUAGGCGGAAUCACUGGGCUUAAAGCGUGUGUAGGUGGAUGGGUAAGUACCUUGUGAAAUCCCACGGCUCAACCGUGGAACUGCUCGGUAUACUGCCUGUCUUGAGGCACUCAGGGGCGAGCGGAACAGAUGGUGGAGCGGUGAAAUGCGUAGAUAUCAGGAGGAACACCAAUUGCGAAGGCAGCUCGCUGGGACGUUACUGACGCUGAGACGCGAAAGCGUGGGGAGCAAACAGG